rnacentral:rRNA from 1 species
AUUGAACGCUGGCGGCAGGCUUAACACAUGCAAGUCGAGCGGGGUGAUGGUGCUUGCACUAUCACUUAGCGGCGGACGGGUGAGUAAUGCUUAGGAAUCUGCCUAUUAGUGGGGGACAACAUCUCGAAAGGGAUGCUAAUACCGCAUCCGUCCUACGGGACAAAGCAGGGGAUCACUUGUGACCUUGCGCUAAUAGAUGAGCCUAAGUCGGAUUAGCUAGUUGGUGGGGUAAAGGCCUACCAAGGCGACGAUCUGUAGCGGGUCUGGGAGGAUGAUCCGCCACACUGGGACUGAGACACGGCCCAGACUCCUACGGGAGGCAGCAGUGGGGAAUAUUGGACAAUGGGGGGAACCCUGAUCCAGCCAUGCCGCGUGUGUGAAGAAGGCCUUAUGGUUGUAAAGCACUUUAAGCGAGGAGGAGGCUCUUUUGGUUAAUACCCAAGAUGAGUGGACGUUACUCGCAGAAUAAGCACCGGCUAACUCUGUGCCAGCCGCCGCCGUAA